rnacentral:rRNA from 1 species
GAUGAACGCUGGCGGCGUGCCUAACACAUGCAAGUCGAACGGCAAGACAGUAAGAUCUUGCUCCUACCGGUGGCGGCUGGCGGACGGGUGACGCGUAGAUCGGCAUCUUAUUUUUCGUGGAGAAUUACGGGGGACACGUACGCUAAUACCGCAAUCUACCUACGCGUGUAGGUCGGUGAUCUUCAAACCUUUUGCUGUUGCAUGUGCCGAUGUCGGAUUAGCUAGUUGGCGGUGUAAAGGUCCACCAAGGCGACGGUCCGUAGCUGGUCUGAGAGGAUGAGCGGCCACACUGGAACUUAGAAAAGGUCCAGGACCCUAAGGGAGGCAGGAGUGGGGAAUAUUGGACAAUGGGCGCAAGCCUGAUCCAGCCAUCGCGGGUGGGUGAAGAAGGCCUUCGGGUUGGAAAGCCCUUUUGUUGGGAAAGAAAAGCAGCAGGUUAAUACCCCGCUGUUCCGACGGUAACCAAAUAAUAAGCACCGGCUAACUUCGUG